rnacentral:tRNA from 1 species
GGGGACUUAGCUCAACUGGAGGAGCAACUCGCCUGCAACGAGAAGGUCAUCGGUUCGACUCCGAUAGUCUCCA